AUUGAACGCUGGCGGCAUGCCUUACACAUGCAAGUCGAACGGCAGAACGGGAGCAAUCCUGGUGGCGAGUGGCGAACGGGUGAGUAAUACAUCGGAACGUGCCCAGUAGUGGGGGAUAGCCCGGCGAAAGCCGGAUUAAUACCGCAUACGACCUGAGGGUGAAAGCGGGGGAUAGCAAGACCUCGCGCUAUUGGAGCGGCCGAGGUCGGACUAGCUAGUUGGUGGGGUAAAGGCUCACCAAGGCAACGAGCCGUAGCCGGUCUGAGAGGACGAACAGCCACGCGGGUAGUAGGAGACGGGUCAGACUCCUACGUGAGGCAGCAGUGGGGAAUUUUGGACGAGGGGCGCAAGCCUGAUCCAGCCAUGCCGCGUGCGGUAAGAAGACCAUCGGGUCGUAAACCGCUUUUGUCAGGGAAGAAACGCUCUGGGCUAAUACCCCGGGGUAAUGACGGUACCUGAAGAAUAAGCACCGGCUAACUACGUGCCAGCCGCCGCGGUAAAAC
rnacentral:rRNA from 1 species